rnacentral:rRNA from 1 species
UACGGAGGGGGCUAGCGUUGUUCGGAAUUACUGGGCGUAAAGCGCACGUAGGCGGCUUUGUAAGUUAGAGGUGAAAGCCCGGAGCUCAACUCCGGAAUUGCCUUUAAGACUGCAUCGCUAGAAUUGUGGAGAGGUGAGUGGAAUUCCGAGUGUAGAGGUGAAAUUCGUAGAUAUUCGGAAGAACACCGGUGGCGAAGGCGACUCACUGGACACAUAUUGACGCUGAGGUGCGAAAGCGUGGGGAGCAAACAGG